GGUCUAGUGUGAUAUUAUAGUUAGAGCAGUAUGAUAUCAAAGGUCUAGUGUAAUAUUAUAGUUAGAGCAGUAAGAUAUCACAAGGUCUUGUGUAAUAUUAUAGUUACAGCAGUAUGAUAUCACAAGGUCUAGUGUAAUAUUAUAGUUAGAGCAGUAAGAUAUCACAAGGUCUUGUGUAAUUUUAUAGUUACAGCAGUAUGAUAUCACAAGGUCUAGUGUAAUAUUAUAGUUAGAGCAGUAAGAUAUCACAAGGUCUCAUGUAAUAUUAUAGUUACAGCAGUAAGAUAUCACAAGGUCUAGUGUAAUAUUAUAUUUACAGCAGUAUGAUAUCACAAGGUCUAGUGUAAUAUUAUAGUUAGAGCAGUAAGAUAUCACAAGGUCUCAUGUAAUAUUAUAGUUACAGCAGUAAGAUAUCACAAGGUCUAGUGUAAUAUUAUAUUUACAGCAGUAUGAUAUCACAAGGUCUAGUGUAAUAUUAUAGUUACAGCAGUUUCA
rnacentral:lncRNA from 1 species